UGAAGUUGAAACUGAUUUGUUGCCC
rnacentral:piRNA from 1 species